rnacentral:rRNA from 1 species
GCCAAAAAUCUAGCCCUACCACAAACUUCCCCCAAAGAAACACAUCACACUAAGACGUCCUUAACUAAAGCAUUACCAAACUUAAGUACUGGCGAUAGAAAAAGAAAACGGAGCCAUAGACAUAGUACCGCAAGGGAACAAUGAAAUAGAAAUGAAACAACUCAUAAAAGCACCAAAAAGCAGAGACUUAUCCUCGUACCUUUUGCAUCAUGGUCUAGCAAGUCACAACAAGCAAAAAGAAUUCAAGUUUGACCCCCCGAAACUAAGUGAGCUACUCCGAGGCAGCAAUAAGAGCAAACCCGUCUCUGUGGCAAAAGAGUGGGAAGACCUCCGAGUAGGGGUGACAGACCUAACGAACUUAGUGAUAGCUGGUUGCUCACGAAAAGAAUUUAAGUUCUGCCUUAUAUUUACUUACGACACUUUAAAGUAACAAAGCAAUUUUAAGAGUAAUUCAAUAGGGGUACAGCCCUAUUGAAAAAGAAAACAAUCUACACCUUUGGGUAAAGAUCAUAUAAUGUAAGGGUUUUGUCAGAGUGGGCCUAAAAGCAGCCACCUCCACAGAAAGCGUCACAGCUCAUGCAAAGCUUAUCCAAUAAUACCGUUAAACCCCCUAAACCCAUUAGUACUACUGAGCCUCUCUAUACUUAUAUAGAACAGUUUAUGCUAGAACUAGUAACAUGAAAUAAUUCUCCAGAUGCAAGUGUAAAUCAGAUCGAAAGCCUCACUGAUAAUUAACGUACCACAUGAAGGUAUUGUAGUAACUCAUCAAGAAAACCCUACAACCCCCGCCGUUAAUCUGACACAAGAGCAUAAAAGAAAGAUUAAAAGAUAUAAAAGGAACUCGGCAAACAUGAACUUCGCCUGUUUACCAAAAACAUCGCCUCCUGCCCCUACAUGUAUAGGAGGUCCAGCCUGCCCAGUGACAUAAAUGUUUAACGGCCGCGGUAUUCUGACCGUGCAA